rnacentral:rRNA from 1 species
CCUACGGGGGGCAGCAGUGAGGAAUAUUGGUCAAUGGACGAGAGUCUGAACCAGCCAAGUGGCGUGAAGGAUGACUGCCCUAUGGGUUGUAAACUUCUUUUAUAUGGGAAUAAAACGUUCCACGUGUGGGAUUUUGUAUGUACCAUAUGAAUAAGGAUCGGCUAACUCCGUGCCAGCAGCCGCGGUAAUACGGAGGAUCCGAGCGUUAUCCGGAUUUAUUGGGUUUAAAGGGAGCGUAGGUGGAUUGUUAAGUCAGUUGUGAAAGUUUGCGGCUCAACCGUAAAAUUGCAGUUGAAACUGGCAGUCUUGAGUACAGUAGAGGUGGGCGGAAUUCGUGGUGUAGCGGUGAAAUGCUUAGAUAUCACGAAGAACUCCGAUUGCGAAGGCAGUUCACUGGACUGCAACUGACACUGAGGCUCGAAAGUGUGGGUAUCAAACAGGAUUAGAUACCCGAGUAGUC